UAUUUUUACUCAGAUCAUUACAAUUUUAGCCCUCUUCGUACAAUUAUAGGCAAUUGUUAAAAUUCAUUCCAGUUUUAAUCAAAUUCUCAGCUUAUUAAAUAUCAGCCGUUGAUCAAAAAUUGAUAAAACGGCUAAGAAUCAAAACCUUUUCUUCCCUUUUUAAAAUCAAACACCCCCAAAUCCUAAUUUUAUUUACCUUUUUCUUUCUACUUCCGCCUCCCCCAUCUUCUCUCCCUCCCCUUCUCUCCUCUCCUCAACCAAUAACGACAUAUGACCAGUAUCGCUCUAUUGCCUCCAUGGCAGGCGAGACAACUCUAAGAGCCCUCUGAACUAUGCCGCCGUUAGCAGCCUUCACCCGCCGUCUCCAUCACCAGCGAGACCCCGAACCAGCGCCACCAGCAGCAACGCCGCCAGCCACCGCUACGUCCCUCACCGCUGCAACCUAGCCAUGAAGCGGCGAAGUCAGCUGGCAAGACCCCUCUGAAUAGCCCCCUUGCCAGCAGCGACCAAAUCCUAGCUGCGAUUCAACCCCGUCCAGCCCGUUCUUCGACCAAUCAAAAGCGAACCACAACCGCUCACCCACCAAAAAACGACAGGUUCUUCGGAACCCAUUUCAGGUACUGGAAACAUGAACUUUUCAUUUGGAUUUAGUUUAGUUUGGUAACUUGUGAAUUGAAUUAUUCACUUCAAAAUGUUUAGGUGUAAGUAUUUGAAAUGUGAGCUUUUGUGACUUGAACUAAUUACUUGAAUGUGAUUGAUCGUGUUGAUGGAACCUGAUUAUAACUGGAUAUAUGAACGAAAUAUUGAUAAUAGAAUGGGUGAUGUUGAGAUUGAAGAUGCAGAUGAUGAGUUGUAGUUUUUGUAUUUUUUAUGUUUUAUAGUUUGGAUUUGGAACCUCGAUAAAUUUUGUAAAUAAUUUGAUUUUUAAUGUUUGUAUUCUUAUGGUGGUUGGUUGAUUGUAUAUUAAAUGAUUGGUGGGUUGUAUUAUAAAUAAUUUGAUUUGAUUUUUAAUGAUUGUAUAUGAUUGGUGGGCUGCAU